rnacentral:rRNA from 1 species
CCUACGGGAGGCAGCAGUGAGGAAUAUUGGUCAAUGGGAGAGAUCCUGAACCAGCCAAGCCGCGUGAGGGAAGACGGCCCUAUGGGUUGUAAACCUCUUUUGUCGGAGAACAAAACCCGGGACGUGUCCCGGACUGCGUGUAUCCGACGAAAAAGCAUCGGCUAACUCCGUGCCAGCAGCCGCGGUAAUACGGAGGAUGCGAGCGUUAUCCGGAUUUAUUGGGCGUAAAGGGCGCGUAGGUGGGUGCUUAAGUCAGGUGUGAAAACCCUGGGCUCAACCUGGAGACUGCCCUUGAAACUGGGGAUCUGGAGGGCGGGAGAGGAAAGUGGAA